rnacentral:rRNA from 1 species
UACGUAGGGCGCAAGCGUUAUCCGGAAUUAUUGGGCGUAAAGAGCUCGUAGGCGGUUUGUCGCGUCUGCCGUGAAAGUCCGGGCUUAACUCCGGAUCUGCGGUGGGUACGGGCAGACUAGAGUGAUGUAGGGGAGACUGGAAUUCCUGGUGUAGCGGUGAAAUGCGCAGAUAUCAGGAGGAACACCGAUGGCGAAGGCAGUCUCUGGGCAUUAACUGACGCUGAGGAGCGAAAGUGUGGGGAGCGAACAGG